GCGUGCUUAACACAUGCAAGUCGAACGAUGAAGCCCUUCGGGGUGGAUUAGUGGCGAACGGGUGAGUAACACGUGGGCAAUCUGCCCUUCACUCUGGGACAAGCCCUGGAAACGGGGUCUAAUACCGGAUAACACUCCCUCUCUCAUGGGUGGGGGUUAAAAGCUCCGGCGGUGAAGGAUGAGCCCGCGGCCUAUCAGCUUGUUGGUGAGGUAAUGGCUCACCAAGGCGACGACGGGUAGCCGGCCUGAGAGGGCGACCGGCCACACUGGGACUGAGACACGGCCCAGACUCCUACGGGAGGCAGCAGUGGGGAAUAUUGCACAAUGGGCGAAAGCCUGAUGCAGCGACGCCGCGUGAGGGAUGACGGCCUUCGGGUUGUAAACCUCUUUCAGCAGGGAAGAAGCGAAAGUGACGGUACCUGCAGAAGAAGCGCCGGCUAACUACGUGCCAGCAGCCGCGGUAAUACGUAGGGCGCAAGCGUUGUCCGGAAUUAUUGGGCGUAAAGAGCUCGUAGGCGGCUUGUCACGUCGGGUGUGAAAGCCCGGGGCUUAACCCCGGGUCUGCAUUCGAUACGGGCUAGCUAGAGUGUGGUAGGGGAGAUCGGAAUUCCUGGUGUAGCGGUGAAAUGCGCAGAUAUCAGGAGGAACACCGGUGGCGAAGGCGGAUCUCUGGGCCAUUACUGACGCUGAGGAGCGAAAGCGUGGGGAGCGAACAGGAUUAGAUACCCUGGUAGUCCACGCCGUAAACGGUGGGAACUAGGUGUUGGCGACAUUCCACGUCGUCGGUGCCGCAGCUAACGCAUUAAGUUCCCCGCCUGGGGAGUACGGCCGCAAGGCUAANACUCAAAGGAAUUGAC
rnacentral:rRNA from 1 species